rnacentral:rRNA from 1 species
AAAGAUCGGGAGUGCUUUGCACUCUGUGAAAACAAGAUACAGGGCUAGCGGCGGACGGGUGAGUAACACGUGGGGUAACCUGCCAAGAGAUCGGGAUAACACCUGGAAACAGAUGCUAAUACCGGAUAACACAGAUGAUGCCUAUCAACUGUUUAAAAAAGAUGGUUCUGCUAUCACUCUUGGAUGGACCUGCGGUGCAUUAGCUAGUUGGUAGGGUAACGGCCUACCAAGGCGAUGAUGCAUAGCCGAGUUGAGAGACUGAUCGGCCACAUUGGGACUGAGACACGGCCCAAACUCCUACGGGAGGCAGCAGUAGGGAAUCUUCCACAAUGGACGCAAGUCUGAUGGAGCAACGCCGCGUGAGUGAAGAAGGGUUUCGGCUCGUAAAGCUCUGUUGUUGGUGAAGAAGGACAGGGGUAGUAACUGACCUUUGUUUGACGGUAAUCAAUUAGAAAGUCACGGGCUAACUACGUGCCAGCAGCCGCGGUAAAU